AUGAAGGCGAGAGUCGAGGUAGAGGACCCAGAUCCAGUCAUCACUGGAUUCAACAACAAUGACCGUAGCUGCGAUGGUAUCAAUCAUGACAAGAACGAGAAGCCUGCCAGUUUAGAGCUCCGCCUAUGGUGGCCAUGCGAGACUAUGCAACAGGAGGGUACACCAGUCAUGGAGGAAGGCAAGCAGGCAACGAUGUCAGUGGGGAACAAGGUGAAGGUGCCAGAGAAUGGGAUGUCCAUCCAUCAACCAGUGAUCGUACCAAGAACCAGAAAGCUCUUUCUUCGAGGAUUGGGUGUCUAUGGGCGUGGAAAAUGGAAGGAAAUAUCCAAGGACUUUGUCACCACCAAGACUCCUGUGCAGGUUUCAAGCCACGCACAGAAGUACUUCAGGAGGAUAAAGAAAGGAGAGCUGGAAAGGCAACGCUACAGCAUCAAUGACCUAGAGCUCAAAAUUGUCAAACCAUGGACAAUUGGAAAUAACUCUAGUGCCUACCAAUCUCUCAUCUUUGAUGAUGCUGAUAACCAGAACCAAAGUUUCGACAUGUAA
rnacentral:rRNA from 1 species